rnacentral:rRNA from 1 species
CCUACGGGAGACAGCAGUGAGGAAUAUUGGUCAAUGGGCGAGAGCCUGAACCAGCCAAGUCGCGUGAGGGAAGACGGUCCUAUGGAUUGUAAACCUCUUUUGUCGGGGAGCAAAAAGGCCUCGUGAGGCCACAAGUGAGAGUACCCGAAGAAAAAGCAUCGGCUAACUCCGUGCCAGCAGCCUCGGUAAUACGGAGGAUGCGAGCGUUAUCCGGAUUUAUUGGGUUUAAAGGGUGCGUAGGCGGACUGGAAAGUCAUCGGUAAAAUCGAGAGGCUCAACACCGGCCUGCCGUUGAAACUGGUCUUCUUGAGUGAGCGAGAAGUAUGCGGAAUGCGUGGUGUAGCGGUGAAAUGCAUAGAUAUCACGCAGAACCCCGAUUGCGAAGGCAGCAUACCGGCGCCCUACUGACGCUGAGGCACGAAAGUGCGGGUAUCGAACAGGAUUAGAUACCCUUGUAGUC